ACGAGAGGGUGUGUUGCAACGUCCUCAAUUUUGUAUAAAUCCGGCUUCGCGCAAUCACAUACAAAUCAUUUUCUCAAGGCUUACCACAUCCUCUGAAAUUUAGCUGCCAGAAAAUAAUUUAUAAUGCAUCCAAUAAAUGUCUUCAUUGUCGGCUGCUACGCGACAAUCACGAUAUUCCAGAUUAGUCAGGCAUCUGAAGGAGUACCUCAGUAUCUUCUACAAUACGUCGCUGACCAGGAUUGCACUUCCGGGAAUCAUACAAUAGGUCUCAAUCCAACAUCUGACAAGGAGCAGGACUUGAUUCCCCCAAGAAAUGGUGAGGACGUGUACUUCAAAGUGAUGGGUUUCUGGAGGGUAACUCAAUACGAUGGGUACGACCAUAGUGCCAACUCAUACUUUUACGGAGUCGGGGAUGAGUGCCAAUUCAUGCUUUAGAACUACAAUUCCCGAUGGACGGCAACUCGACUUGGGGAUCCGCUUCAGAUCGAUAAAGAAAUUUUACUCUAUCGUGAUACAUAUUUUUAUGGCGUGCCCUUUAAGGCGAAACGUUCAACGCCAUCAAUAAUUCCACCAGUGAAAAUUGGGUCGCUUCUUUUCAGCGGACAGUAUUCUUGGGGCCUGUUCUCUGGCCCGAACUACUCGGGACAAACGAUGUGUCUCCAACCCGAGAUAGAAGGAAGAAAAUGGGGAAUGACGUAUAAAUUUGGUUUAGAUUUUAGCGUAGCUAGCAUAAGGUUAAAUUGUUAAUUUGUUUAAUUUAUAUUUUAAAAAAUCAGUAUUCAUACGUUUUAUUAGUCUUGGAAGCAAUAAAUGCUUUAAAAUAUUAUUUAUUAAUA